UUAACACAUGCAAAUUGAACGAAAAAUUUUAAUUUUAAAUUUUUAGUGGUGACCUGGUGCGUAAAGUAUGAGUAUUGAAGUAUAAAUUAGGGAUUAAAUACCUUCCUUUUUUUUAUAAAAAAGAUUUAUAUCGUUUAUACUAAAGCUUAUAUAGGAUUAGGUAGUUGUUAUAGUAAUUAUUUAACAAGCCUAUGAUGCUUAGCUGAUUUGAGAGAAUGAUCAGCCACAUUGGAACUGAAAACGGUCCAAGUCUUUUUAAAGGGCAGCAGUGGAGAAUAUUUGACAAUGAGCGAAAGCUUGAUCGAGUAAUGUUACGUGAGUGAUUAGAAGGCUUAAUUGCUGUAAAACUCUUUCGUCAAGGAUUAUAAUGCAAAUUGUACUUGAAAGAGAAGCCCUGACUAACUUCGUGCCAGCAGUCGCGGUAAUACGGAGAGGGCUAGUGUUAUUCGUAUUGACUGGGUGUAAAGGGUAAGUAGGUGGUUUAUUAAGUUUAAAAAUACUAAAUUAUCAUUUAGAAUAUUUAAAUACUAUUAAACUAGAGUUAAAUUGAAGAUAACUGUACAUUAAGUGUAAAAGUGAAAUUUGUUAAUAUUUAAAGGACAGUCAAUAUGCGAAAGCUGUUAUCUAAAUUAAUACUGACACUGAGUUACGAAAGCAUAGGGAUCAAACGGGAUUAGAGACCCCGGUAGUCUAUGCCCUGACCGAUGAAUGUUAAUUAAAUUAAUAUAAUUUAAUUAAGCUAACGCGUAAACAUUCCACCUGAGUACUACGACCGCAAGGUUAAAACUCAAAGAAACUGACGGAAGAUUGUAUAAGCGGUGGAGUAUGUGGUUUAAUUUGAUAUAACGCAAAAAAUCUUACCAGUUUUUGAAUGUNNAAAUAUAAUUAUAUAAUUUUUAUAUAAUAUUAUUUAUAAAUUAUUUUAUUUUUAUUAAGAUAAUUUAUAGUUUUACACAGGUGCUGCAUGGUUGUCGUCAGUCCGUGUUGUGAAAUGUUAUGUUAAUUCAUUUAACGGACGUAACCCUUAGUUUUAAUUUUUUAAUAAUAUAUUAUUAAAACUAAUAUUAAUAUAAAAUUAAUUGAAAAAGGAAGAAGUCAAAUCAUUAUGGCCUAUAUAAACUGGGCUACACACGUACUACAAUGGUAAUUACAAUAUGAAACAAUAAUGUGAAUUGGAGUAAAACAUUAAAAAUUAACCUUAGUUCGGAUUAUUCUCUGUAAGUCGAGAGUAUGAAGGAGGAAUCGCUAGUAAUCGUAAAAUAGAAUGUUACGGUGAAUAUAUUCUCAAUCUUUGUACACACCGCCCGUCACGCCAUGGGAAUUGGUUUGAUUUGAAAUAAUAUAGGUAUUAAUUAAAUAUAAUAUAAAUAUUUUUAAUUUUUUUUUAUUAUAUAUUAAUAUACUAAUUAUGACAAUUAAAUGAAGGACUGGGGCGAAGUCGUAACAAGGUAGUGGUAGGGGAACC
rnacentral:rRNA from 1 species